rnacentral:rRNA from 1 species
AUUGAACGCUGGCGGCAGGCCUAACACAUGCAAGUCGAACGAGCGGCGGACGGGUGAGUAAUGUCUGGGAAACUGCCCGAUGGAGGGGGAUAACUACUGGAAACGGUAGCUAAUACCGCAUACCAUCGGAUGUGCCCAGAUGGGAUUAGCUAGUAGGUGGGGUAAUGGCUCACCUAGGCGACGAUCCCUAGCUGGUCUGAGAGGAUGACCAGCCACACUGGAACUGAGACACGGGCCAGACUCCUAGGGGAGGCAGCAGUGGGGAAUAUUGCACAAUGGGCGCAAGCCUGAUGCAGCAAUGCCGCGUGUGUGAAGAAGGCCUUCGGGUUGUAAAGUACUUUCAGCGAGGAGGCGUUACUCGCAGAAGAAGCACCGGCUAACUCCGUGCCAGCAGCCGCGGUAAUAC